rnacentral:rRNA from 1 species
AACGAACGCUGGCGGCAUGCCUAACACAUGCAAGUCGAACGGGAUCCUGGCUUCGGCCAGGUGAGAGUGGCGGACGGGUGAGUAACGCGUGGGAACCUGCCCAUUGGUCUGGGAUAACUGCGGGAAACUGCAGCUAAUACCGGAUGUACCCGAGAGGGGGAAAAGAUUUAAUCGCCCGAUGGAGGGCCCGCGUCAGAUUAGGUAGUUGGUGAGGUAACGGCUCACCAAGCCUACGAUCUGUAGCUGGUCUGAGAGGAUGAUCAGCCACACUGGGACUGAGACACGGCCCAGACUCCUACGGGAGGCAGCAGUGGGGAAUAUUGGACAAUAGGGCGAAAGCCUGAUCCAGCAAUGCCGCGUGAGUGAUGAAGG